UACGUAGGGUGCGAGCGUUGUCCGGAUUUAUUGGGCGUAAAGAGCGUGUAGGCGGCCUGGUAGGUCAGCUGUGAAAACUCGAGGCUCAACCUCGAGACGCCGGUUGAAACCAUCAGGCUAGAGUCCGGAAGAGGCGAGUGGAAUUCCUGGUGUAGCGGUGAAAUGCGCAGAUAUCAGGAGGAACACCAAUGGCGAAGGCAGCUCGCUGGGACGUGACUGACGCUGAGACGCGAAAGCCAGGGGAGCAAACGGG
rnacentral:rRNA from 1 species